rnacentral:rRNA from 1 species
AACGAACGCUGGCGGCAGGCCUAGCACAUGCAAGUCGAGCGAAGCCUUCGGGCUUAGCGGCGGACGGGUGAGUAACGCGUGGGAACGUGCCCUUUGGCACGGAAUAGCCCCGGGAAACUGGGAGUAAUACCGUAUGUGCCCUUCGGGGGAAAGAUUUAUCGCCAAAGGAUCGGCCCGCGUUGGAUUAGGUAGUUGGUGGGGUAAUGGCCUACCAAGCCGACGAUCCAUAGCUGGUUUGAGAGGAUGAUCAGCCACACUGGGACUGAGACACGGCCCAGACUCCUACGGGAGGCAGCAGUGGGGAAUCUUAGACAAUGGGGGAAACCCUGAUCUAGCCAUGCCGCGUGAUCGAUGAAGGCCUUAGGGUUGUAAAGAUCUUUCAGUGGGGAAGAUAAUGACUGUACCCACAGAAGAAGCCCCGGCUAACUCCGUGCCAGCAGCCGCAGUAACAC